GGCAUGGGGAAUGCGAUAGCCCCACGAGGCGGCAUGCCGAAAUAUCGCGUCCGACUUUCGUAGGGACGCUCCAUG
rfam:Sphingomonas wittichii RW1, complete genome.